GAAGUCUAUAAUUUGUUGAUUAUGCUCAAGCUAAAAAAGGAAAAUGACAGCAAUUAACAUCAUAUCAGUGGGAGUUAACUGUCCAGAACUAACACUGCCAAAGGCAAGCUGGUAGACAGCAGGGACGGGGAAGCCAACAGCUCUACAUCUUUGGGGUAUAUGGAGUACAGCUGGGGAGAAUCAUAAUGGUGAAACAACACAAGAAGGAAGAAGAACUAGGAAUGUUGAAAUGAGGCUGAAAGUGAACAAGAAGGCAUCUAGACUACAAAACCUGUGGAGAGAACACUACUCACUCCUCUCCACCUACCCAAGCUGCUGUGGCCUUGUCUGAAUGCUGCGAAUUCCCAGUCCACUGCAGCGUAUCCACAUGGAAACACCACAGAUGCCAGCAUUCACAAAGGUGCAGAAACAAGGAAAGUGAUAGGAUGAAGAUGUCAGUUGUGGCAAAUAGAACUCUGCCUCUCUGUCACUUCAUUGGAACAUCUCUGUCUGUGAUUGUUGUUAGGCGCUACUCACACUGUCUAAAAAAUGUCAAGAAAAACAGAUAGGGCUUAUCCCAAAGAGUUCAGCUGUAGGCAAAUACACAAUCAUACAAUUUGAAAAGACGGAUGUUGAAGACAUGAUGCAUAGGAGGUCCUAAAUCCAGCAUAAAGAAAGCAUAUAAAGCAUUACCUCACAGCAUGUGAUUUGUUUUUGUCCCCCCAUCGAUUGUUCACUGACCUACGGCCUUGAGAUAUCAAAUCCUCUCCACAUCCAAUUGAAUUCCUAGCAGAGAGGAGACGGGGAGUUUGGAAGUGACUAAAGCGUUUUAGUAGUUGGAAGGUGAUUAGGAGAAGGCUAGAGAUGUUGAUAGGCGAGCUGCUCUCUGGUUGUUUUCUCUUGGUCCUCUGGGGCCGGAGAGAAGGAUCAGGGGGUGAGAAGUCAAAGGGAGGACAAGGUGACUGAUUGGGCCCAGGCAGCAGGUCAGCACUGGGCAGCUGAAUCAAACUCAAGUCAAGGAUUUUCCCCCCAACUACUAUCAGACAUAUAAUCUGGCUCUGUCAACACUUCUGUCCAGCUGGAUGCAGUACACUUAUUAUUUACACAUGUGCACAUGAAGAGGGACAUACACAGUCACAGAAGUACACUCUCACACACUCUCACAUAUGGAGGCCAUAUUAGUAGUCGUGGAAAAUGAACAAUAAACCUAGGCAAUCAACGGCUCAUUUGAAAAUGAAAGGGUACAAAUCUGUAUUAGUUGAAGUACAAUGCCAGUUGUAUAACCCUGACAAUUCUAGCAAAUGAAAUCAUUUGCACAGGGACAAAAUUAUAAUUGAACACCACCUCUAACAUUUGAAAUAUGACAGGUGAUUAAUUUUUUUUGCUUUUAAUAAACUAUGCUCCUCUAACAUCAACUAAGCACGGUGAUAAUCAAAAUGAAAACCCAUGGGGAAUACGAACUACCAUCAAUUAAAGUGGACUCCCACAAAUAGACCAAUUCCACUAUGGACUUUACAAAAAAAUAAUUAUAUUCCACAUGAUUAUGUAAAAUACAUUAGCCAGACAAUUAGGCGACUAUAAUUGCAUCUAAAUUACACAUUGAUUGAAGAAAGAAAUGAAUCCACAAAUCUGGAGAGGUUUGAUUGGUCCCUUUCUAAGAAACCUCAGAUACACGAUUCUUCCUUUUAAUAAUCCUUUAGCCAUUUUAUUCACUGGAUUGUCAUUACAAAAUUCAAUUACAUGGAACACCUGAACUAACAAUAUCUCCUAGCCAAUUAUGCAGUGUCUGGGAAACCGUACGCAAACAAAUUACCAACGUUAAUGUGAGAGAUUGACUUGAUAUUCUUGGCGUUGUAUGCACAGUUUGCACACAAAGGCAGCCCAGCCUCACACCUCCCCUGUUAUUGCCUAUUGUUGACUUAUGAAUGAAACAGCUUGGCCUCGAUUUGAGAAUAAAAUGGAAAUCUAGUCUGUGAGGCUGUUCUGUAGAAAUAGAUUAGUAAUUCUAUAGAAUAGUUUUUCCAUUUCUAUGGGCCGAACAAGGAAGAGACAGCCACAAUUUCAGUUUAACCUUCUCUUUCUCCUCCUAUACUCUCUCAUCUCUCUUUACCAUUUCAGCCUGACUUUAAAAUAUUUAACAAUGAAAAGUAAUCAUAAGAGAUCUUGGCAGUACUAUAGCCCUGAGUAUUGAUUGGGCAGUGGCCCAACAUCCCCUCACUAAAGAAAGAUUAAAAUAACAGACUCAUCAAAUACAUUUAUGGAGUCAGUGACCUCAGCCAAUCCUGGAGUGGGGAGUCCAUAAAUCAUAGUCCAUCUCUGUUACACACAGUGAGUCUGUCUCAGGCUCAGUACAGGGAGUCCUGUAGAGGAUGGGAGACACUACCGUUACAGUACAUAAAUCUACAGCAACCCCAUGUGGCAAUGUUAGGGGGAAUUAAGGAUCCACUAGCUACAUGAUGGGUGUGGGACGACGAGAUGUCAUUACAUAUUAAGACCAAAUGUAAAUACUGGAAUACAGGUGGGUGUGGGACGACGAGAUGUCAUUACAUAUUAAGACCAAAUGUAAAUACUGGAAUACAGGUUUUUAAAAGGUAUUGUGAAGCAUACAUGGUACACAACACAUUUGUGUCCCAUCGCCUGGAAAUGUGUGUUUGCAUGGGUCUGUGUGUGGAUACGUACUUGAAUGUGUGUGUGCAUUUGCGUGUGUGUGAAACACAGAGAGAGAGAUGUAUGUGUUCAGUCACAGCUCUGGCUGUCCCUCUUUUUCAAACCAAAGCACCACCUGUCAACAUAUUUUCAUUACAUUUUCCCAUACUCCAAGACCUAGCCUAUCCACCUGUGGUGGAUGGAGCUCCGUCGCUCCCCCCAUCAGAUUGAGGCGCUCUCAAUGCUGGGAAAGACGUUCCUAUCUCUCUGAUCCUGCUCUCUACGCCUGACUCCAGCCUGUGAGGCGAGGAAAGGAAAGGCGGAAGAGGCCAGGCAGAAAGGAAGGGAAUCUUGGUUUGCUAUCAACAGCUCAGGAGAGUAGCGUUGGCAGCAAGAUUGAUGACACCCUCCCCGCAAAGUAACAAAGGAACUCCUGCGCAUAAGAGCCUGCUUAUGGGGUCUGAUAGACUUGUCAUCCUCUUAAUAAACAUAGCAGAUAUGUCAGCAGCAGCAGGAGGGACUGAACCAGACCCAGCAGACCCACCCACCCACAGGCAGGACCACCGGCUAGCCUGGCACACCCGGUCCUGGGCAGCUCGUUCCAUAAGGUGGCCCCUGGAGGAACUGGAGGGUCGCGCCAGAAGAUGAUCAAAACAUAAACAGACAGGAUAUGAAGUAUAAAUCAAUAUUUCACAGACAAUAAAACCUAUACCGGUCUGUUGUCAGAAUGGUUUUGCCUGGCAAUUGUUCAAUGCAACCAAGCUAAGGCGGUAGUUCCAGUAUGCUACAGUCGGUAUCUCUGCUGAGAUGGGGAUGUUAUUAAUGUUGGAACUAGGGCCAAAGCGUUUGGUGGAGAAUAUUUAUUUCAGGGUUGGUGUGGUUGUAAGAGGUUUGGUUUGAUGAUAUGCUUUGUGAAAACAGCACAAACACUCACAAGAAUAAACAUUUACAAAACCU